CAGGUGCUGAAUUUUGAUAGAUUUUCAUGGACGAAGGCAUCGUCAAAGCUUUACUUAUCACCAAGCAGUCUGCCACUGAAGAUUCCAGCAUGCAAGAGCCAUCCUUUGGUAUCCUGGGGAAAAAGGCUCUUCUAAUUGGAGGGAAAACAGACCUGGGGAGUGACAGAAUUUCAGUAUGGGCAUUUGAUACAGAGACGGAGUGCUAGUCACUGAUGGAGGCGAAGGGAGACAUACCAGUAGGGAUAUGCCUUUCAUAACUGCAAAUGCUGCAGUGAUAGAAAUUGCUCUUGGGCAUUGUCCAAACGUUGAAAUCAUAUAUGGCAUCAAUGUCAUAAUCAUUCAGAAAGAUAUAAAGUGUGACUACCAUAGCUAGACAUACAAUUCCAACAAGUUGAUAUUUUUAAACUAAGAACAAAUCUAAAU